UACGUAGGGGGCGAGCGUUAUUCGGAAUUACUGGGCGUAAAGUGUGCGUAGGCGGCCGAUCAAGUCGGGUGUGAAAGCCCCGAGCUUAACUUGGGAACUGCGCUCGAAACUACUUGGCUAGAGUGUGGCAGAGGGAGGUGGAAUUCCACGUGUAGCGGUGAAAUGCGUAGAGAUGUGGAGGAAUACCGAUGGCGAAGGCAGCCUCCUGGGCCAACACUGACGCUCAUGCACGAAAGCGUGGGGAGCAAACAGG
rnacentral:rRNA from 1 species